rnacentral:rRNA from 1 species
UACGGAGGGUGCUAGCGUUGUCCGGAAUUACUGGGCGUAAAGGGCGCGUAGGCGGCCAUUUUAGUCCGAGGUGAAAGCCCAGGGCUCAACCUUGGAACUGCCUUUGAUACUGGCUGUCUUGAGUUCGGGAGAGGUGAGUGGAAUGCCGAGUGUAGAGGUGAAAUUCGUAGAUAUUCGGCGGAACACCAGUGGCGAAGGCGACUCACUGGCCCGAUACUGACGCUGAGGCGCGAAAGCGUGGGGAGCAAACAGG